rnacentral:rRNA from 1 species
ACUCCUACGGGAGGCAGCAGUGGGGAAUAUUGCACAAUGGGGAAACCCUGAUGCAGCCAUGCCGCGUGUGUGAAGAAGGCCUUCGGUUGUAAAGCACUUUCAGUAGGGAGGAAGGUAGUGUAGUUAACACCUGCAUUAUUUGACGUUACCUACAGAAGAAGCACCGGCUAACUCCGUGCCAGCAGCCGCGGUAAUACGGAGGGGUGCGAGCGUUAAUCGGAAUUACUGGGCGUAAAGCGCAUGCAGGCGGCCUGUUAAGUCAGAUGUGAAAGCCCGGGGGCUUAACCUCGGAAUUGCAUUUGAAACUGGCAGGCUAGAGUCUUGUAGAGGGGGUAGAAUUUCAGGUGUAGCGGUGAAAUGCGUAGAGAUCUGAAGGAUACCAGUGGCGAAGGCGGCCCCUGGACAAAGACUGACGCUCAGAUGCGAAAGCGUGGGGAGCGAAACAGGAUUAGAUACCCUGGUAGACUGUCA